rnacentral:rRNA from 1 species
UACGAAGGGGGCUAGCGUUGUUCGGAAUUACUGGGCGUAAAGCGCGUGUAGGCGGCUAAGUGUGUCGGGCGUGAAAUCCCACGGCUCAACCGUGGAAGUGCACCCGAAACUACGUAGCUAGAGUCCUGGAGAGGAAGGUGGAAUGCUUGGUGUAGAGGUGAAAUUCGUAGAUAUCAAGCGGAACACCGGUGGCGAAGGCGGCCUUCUGGACAGUGACUGACGCUGAGACGCGAAAGCGUGGGGAGCAAACAGG